CUCGGAGUUUGAUCCUGGCUCAGAUUGAACGCUGGCGGAAUGCUUUACACAUGCAAGUCGAACGGUAGAGGGGGCAACCCCUUGAGAGUGGCGAACGGGUGAGUAAUAUAUCGGAACGUGCCCAGUCGUGGGGGAUAACGUAGCGAAAGUUACGCUAAUACCGCAUACGAUCUACCGGAUGAAAGCGGGGGACUCGCAAGAGCCUCGCGCGAUUGGAGCGGCCGAUAUCAGAUUAGGUAGUUGGUGGGGUAAAGGCUCACCAAGCCAACGAUCUGUAGCUGGUCUGAGAGGACGACCAGCCACACUGGAACUGAGACACGGUCCA
rnacentral:rRNA from 1 species